GAUGAACGCUAGCUACAGGCUUAACACAUGCAAGUCGAGGGGCAGCAUUGUCGAAGCUUGCUUUGACAGAUGGCGACCGGCGCACGGGUGAGUAACGCGUAUCCAACCUUCCGCAUAGUAGGGAAUAGCCCGGCGAAAGUCGGAUUAAUGCCCUAUGUUUUCCAAUGAGGACAUCUAAGUUGAAGCAAAGAUUUAUCGCUAAGGGAUGGGGAUGCGUCUGAUUAGGUAGUAGGCGGGGUAACGGCCCACCUAGCCGACGAUCAGUAGGGGUUCUGAGAGGAAGGUCCCCCACAUUGGAACUGAGACACGGUCCAAACUCCUACGGGAGGCAGCAGUGAGGAAUAUUGGUCAAUGGACGGAAGUCUGAACCAGCCAAGUAGCGUGCAGGAUGACGGCCCUAUGGGUUGUAAACUGCUUUUGUGCGGGAAUAAAGUAUGGGACGUGUCCCAUUUUGCAUGUACCGCACGAAUAAGGACCGGCUAAUUCCGUGCCAGCCGCCGCAGUAAAAC
rnacentral:rRNA from 1 species